rfam:Aedes albopictus isolate Foshan contig20756, whole genome shotgun sequence.
UGUUCUGUGGCUUAAUUGGUUGAAGCGCCGGUCUAGCGAAUGCGUAGGCAUGGGUUCGAAUCCCACCAGAACGC